rnacentral:pre_miRNA from 1 species
GCCGUGUUAAAGCAGCACGUCAAUACUGGAGUUAAAUACUGUGGUUUCCAGUGUUACUGUUCUGCUCUAGUAAGGC